rnacentral:rRNA from 1 species
GACGAACGCUGGCGGCGUGCUUAACACAUGCAAGUCGAACGGAAAGGCUCUGCUUUUGUGGGGUGCUCGAGCGGCGAACGGGUGAGUAACACGUGAGUAACCUGCCCUUGACUUUGGGAUAACUUCAGGAAACUGGGGCUAAUACCGGAUAGGAGCUCCUGCUGCAUGGUGGGGGUUGGAAAGUUUCGGCGGUUGGGGAUGGACUCGCGGCUUAUCAGCUUGUUGGUGGGGUAGUGGCUUACCAAGGCUUUGACGGGUAGCCGGCCUGAGAGGGUGACCGGCCACAUUGGGACUGAGAUACGGCCCAGACUCCUACGGGAGGCAGCAGUGGGGAAUAUUGCACAAUGGGCGGAAGCCUGAUGCAGCAACGCCGCGUGCGGGAUGACGGCCUUCGGGUUGUAAACCGCUUUCGCCUGUGACGAAGCGUGAGUGACGGUAAUGGGUAAAGAAGCACCGGCUAACUACGUG